CCACUGGUAAAUCCACUGUGUAGAGUCUAUAGAUGAAAAAAACCAGGCAAGUAGUUUGAGGAAGGAAGAGCCAGACAGAUCGUGUCACAGAAAAGGAAGCGGGAAAAAAAGAGGAAACCAUCAUCCACAUAGCAAGAGAUGGCAGCAAAAUCAGCCUAGGGGGUUCUUUUCUUGAGCAGGCACAAGGAGCCAGUUCAGACUUUAUGAGAAUAUGGAGCUAUAUUUACAAAACUCUGGGAAGUAACCUUUGCAGAGGCUGUAAAGGAUUCAAGAAUAAUUUGCAACUGUUCCAACAAUUCAAAGAUGUUCUCUGAACUUGCUUGAUGCCACAUUGGUUAUCCUUGUUUUUAGCACCUUUACUUUGCAACAAGAAGGUUCUUGAUUUGAAUCAUGGAGCCUAGGCGGAAGAUCAACUGAAGAAACUCAAUUGCUUUUCAUACUUCCACCUGCGUCACAGCCAAUCAACUUUAAACCACACCUCCACGAAAGCCAAUCGGCAUCCAAAGUUAGUCUUAAAAUGCCUCCAAUACGCACCUGUCUGCUAAUGUGCUCAGGCAGCGGAUCCGCUGUGUGAUUUCAUUCAGAUGACACCGUUUCAACCCACCUCCAGCCCCUCCUCCACCAUCGUAGCUAAAGCUUCAUCAGAGUGUCAUUCCUCUAGGACUCUUACUGCGUUCCUGGUCUCAUCUUAACCAGUCCGGCAGAAGACGGCCAUGAUGAGCCUGGUUCUGCCAAAGGUCCCUGAUUAAGGCUUUAGAAUCAGCUCACGCAAUCUGCUGGAUCUCCCCAUAGAGCUCAGCAUACCAUCUCGCUAACCAGCAGUCUACAGACUGACCAACUUCAUCUAUCUCCACUCCACCACCAGUUU